GCCUGGGUGGCCUAGUCAGUUAAGUGUCUGACUUCAGCUCAGGUCAUGAUCUCACUGUUUGUGGGUUCGAACCCCACAUCGGGCU
rnacentral:tRNA from 1 species